AGGCAAAAUUCUCCUGCAUCAGGCUAGAGUAGUACUGGGAUGGGUGACCUCCUAGGAAUUCCUAGUGUUUUACAUG
rnacentral:rRNA from 1 species